GACGGGGACCCGCACAAGCAGUGGAGUAUGUGGUUUAAUUCGACGCAACGCGAAGAACCUUACCGGAGCUUGACAUCCCGCGAAUCUGAAUGUAAUGUUUGGAGUGCCCUUCGGGGAGCGCGGAGACAGGUGGUGCAUGGUUGUCGUCAGCUCGUGUCGUGAGAUGUUGGGUUAAGUCCCGCAACGAGCGCAACCCUUACGGUCAGUUGCUACGCAAGAGCACUCAGGCCGGACUGCCGUUGACAAAACGGAGGAAGGUGGGGACGACGUCAAAUCAUCAUGCCCCUUACGUUCCGGGCUACACACGUACUACAAUGGCGUAAACAAAGGGAAGCAAAUCCGCGAGGAGGAGCAAAUCCCCAAAAGACGUCCCAGUUCAGACUGCAGGCUGCAACCCGCCUGCACGAAGUUGGAAUUGCUAGUAAUCGCAGAUCAGCAUGCUGCGGUGAAUACGUUCCCGGGUCUUGUACACACCGCCCGUCAAACCAUGAAAGUUGAGAACACCCGAAGUCCAUGUUCUGACCGCAAGGGGGAAGUGGCCGAAGGUGGGCUCAAUGAUUGGGGUAAGANGUAACAAGGUGG
rnacentral:rRNA from 1 species